rnacentral:rRNA from 1 species
CACGUAGUUAGCCGGUGCUUUUUCUGCAGGUACCGUCACUUUCGCUUCUUCCCUACUAGAAGAGGUUUACAACCCGAAGGCCGUCAUCCCUCACGCGGCGUUGCUGCAUCAGGCUUUCGCCCAUUGUGCAAUAUUCCCCACUGCUGCCUCCCGUAGGAGUCUGGGCCGUGUCUCAGUCCCAGUGUGGCCGGUCACCCUCUCAGGCCGGCUACCCGUCGUCGCCUUGGUGAGCCAUUACCUCACCAACAAGCUGAUAGGCCGCGAGUCCAUCCCCAACCAAAAAAUCUUUCCACCACCAGACCAUGCGGCCAGUGAUCAUAUCCAGUAUUAGACGUCGUUUCCAACGCUUAUCCCAGAGUCAGGGGUCAGGUUACUCACGUGUUACUCACCCGUUCGCCACUAAUCCACCCAGCAAGCUGGGCAUCAUCGUUCGACUUGCAUGUGUUAAGCACGCCGCCAGCGUUCGUCCCGUACGCCACGGACGUCAACUAC